rnacentral:tRNA from 2 species
GCGGGUGUAGUUCAAUGGUAGAAUUCCAGCCUUCCAAGCUGACUACGUGGGUCCGAUUCCCAUCACCCGCUCCA